UUGAAAAGGGUGAGGCAUGCACUCUAUGUAUGUGCUGUGUGUUUUUCCAUUGAGCCGUUGGGUUCAAGGGGGUUAAAAUACAGAUCAAACGGCUAGCAAUUGUGCCAUAAGCAGCUGGGUUCACAAAAGCUAACGGCUAGCAAUUUUGAGAGAGUCUCAGGAGCUCUUUGUUGUUCAUUGAAAAUCCAAAGGGAGAUUCUUGAGAGAAGUAGAAACAGAGAGAGAGAGAGAGAGAGAGAAAAAAAUACACACACACAACCCACAAUCUAUAACAGUUCCAUCCAAAACCCCAAAUCUCCAAAACCCACACACAGAACUGAGACACCAAACCUCAACCACCGAAAGCCCCAAAAUCAGAGCCCAAAACACAAAGCCAAACAUCAAACAUCGUACCUACACAAACCCACAAAGAAAAACCCAUAUCUCACCCAGAUGAAGCUCCGCUGCUUCACUCCAAAGCCAGCACAAACACCAAGGAGGACCACUACCACCACCACUAGGUUCUCCAUCUCAAGCUCGGCUCUUCCAACUUGGGAAAGGAUGAUGUCAUGGUUAUUUUCUAUACUUUAUAUCUACGCUUGUUGCUACCUGUGAAGGGUGGCUUUGCUGGACUAAUGUGUGUGGGUUUUCACUCUUGGACUUUACCAACAAUUGAAUGAGGGAGGCACAUCUGGCUUAUAUUAGAUGUUGGUUGUGGUGUUGCUAGCUUUGGUGUCUAUUUACUGGACAAAAAUGUUCUUACCAUGUCAUUUGCUCCAAGGAUGAGCAUGAAGCCGAGAUACAGUUUGAUCUUGAAGGGGGGAGUGCUUGCUACUCUGUCUGUCAUUGGAGCACGAAGGCUGACCUUUCUGGACAAAGCAUAUGAUUUGAUUUGUUGUGCACGUUGCGAGGUUCACUGGGAUGCAAAUGGGGAAGAAUCAGUGCCAAAGAGGGGCAGAGAGGUGCCUCUGAAGAGAUCUAAGAUGCAAAGCUCAAAGUCACAAAGAAGUCUAGAGCCGAGUCAAUGAUGCACGUGCCUCGCAAGAAGACAAGUCCAAGCGCCGCGACCAUUACAAUAAUGUUCCAUAGAAAGAGAGAUGAAGGAGGGGACUAAUGGUUAGAGUGAAUUAAUAUUUCAGGACCCACUGGUAACUAACGGACGAAAUUCAGUUCUGUUGCUCAGUAUAGAUGUUUGGGAGCAUGCUUACUACUUGCAGGAAUAAAUGGCAUACUACAGGAUCACCCUUUAUCUAUGCUUCUUUCAGAAUUGCUGCAGCACUUAUUGAACUACUUGUUUGGGUAAUGAAUGUCAUCUGGGAAAUGAAUGUCAUCCCCAUUGAAGUGCCAAAACUCUGUCUGUUAUAUUUGACAGAGGGUUGAUUGGAAUCUAUCUUGACUGGUGCAAGUCUUUUAAGUUCUAUCCUCGAACUUAUAAUCUACAGUGUUUUUACUUUAGAAAUCUUCCACAAAGUGCUUGUAGAGGAAGAAUUUGUCUCCCACAAGAUGAACUUGCACAAGCUGGCUUGUCAGAUGAUGACACAGUUCAUGGAAAAGUGACUGGAUAAAUGGCUUAGUUUCAUGAAGGGCCACAUAAAAGUGAGCUAGGAUGUUCUAUGAUGAAGCAGAGAAUGGGGUUCCUGAGCUCAAAUUAGCAGAGUAGAUUGGCAGUAUGGGCAUGGUUGUUGCCGACAGAUUUUGGAUGCCAUUGGAGCUAAUGAUUACAACUACUUCACAAAACAGGCUUAGGUAGGAAAAGCACUAAUAUCAGUUCCAUUAGCCUACUUUGGAUUCCUGGGGAUACUAUAGUGCAGCAGCAUGAAGAGUUGCCCAGCAAGAAAGCAUGCUGAGAGAUACUAGGAAGAUCCUUUAAUGCUUAUUGUCACUUAUGAGGGUGAUCAUAACCAUUCAAGGUUACUAUCAUCACAAUCUGCCCAUCAUGAGAACUUCAUGGAUAUUCUUCAAAGGAGAGGGGGAAAAAAAUAACUCCAAAAAUCAUGGAUAUCCUUCAAAGGAGAGGGGGAAAAAAAGACUCCAAAAAUUCUACUGCCAACUUUUCACGUACAACUUCAUGUUUUCUUAUGAAUUGCUCCUGUAUAUAUAUCACUGAUAGUGGGAACUGGGAAGGAUCUGUUGUAAGAUAAAUGGGAUUUCUAAGUCUUAUUCAGCUUUCUGGAUAAGUCUGGUUUUAGACACAACCAGAAUUUUUAAGGCCUUUUUAUAUAGAAUUUGGCAUAAAUUUCUAGAGUUCCUUUAUAAAGGACCAAAGGAAUUUUUAAACCCCUUUUGUAAAACAUAUUAUUCUUAAUUACUGCAUUCUUAAUUCUUAAAUGAUC